rnacentral:lncRNA from 1 species
GUCCUUUCUAAAGAUACUACACGGAUUUCCUGUAUCCCCCGGAGCUGAGCGCUCGUUUAAGUGACCUGACGCUAGAGGGGGAGCAGUCUUCCAGUUCUGAUACCCAGACCCCAGGGACACUGGUCUGACCCUAAGCCCUGUGUCGGUCUGGACAGACAGACUCCAGUCUGAGGAGCACACACAGUCAACCUCGCUGAGCCCUGAGAUGUGGUUGUUCUUGGUCCUGCGGGACAACUGCCUGAUCUCACAGGACCCCUGGCUUCCUUUUGGCCCGGGAAGAUGUCUGAUACCCCUGCUUUUCUUCUUACCCUGUGCUGGGGGUCUGGAGGGCCCCAGCUAGCUUCAAAGAGGGGGAUAACGGUGUGGCGACUGCUUCUUCCUCCAUUUCUGUUUACACUUGUGAUUUAGCAUUCACUGUCUUUGCCCAACACUCGGUGUUUUAUAAAAGGGAAACUGAGCUCAUUCCUGGUUGGGUUCAUUCCUGUCCCCGUGCCCAGCCUGUUCCAUUCCAGAGCCACCACCCUGCCUCAACAGAAUGGACCACAUAGAGUCUCGGGACUAGGACUGCUGUGAACAGAGCUCCCUGCCUCCUCCCACUAGAGUUCUCGAGCAGGUGGGCUUCUGUCUACAUUUGGAAGGAUGGGAGUCUAAGUAGGGUACCUGAAGGAGUUAUAUCUCUGUCUCUGCCCAUAGCCUCUAGGAUGACCUUCCCCAAUGAGAAGGCCGUACAAGAGGUUGUCAAGAAACAGAGCCAUUUGAGUAUGUUGCAUCCUGGGAUGCUGCAGUGGUUAAACCUGGCAACUAGUACAUGCCAGUAAAACCCUCAGGUGACAUCUGGCCAUGGGCCACAGGCCACAUCAUGUCCUCCUUGGCAUUCCUUCUAUUUAUCACUUUUUAAACAAAUCCACAUAAGGUGUGUUUUCUAUAUUGUCUGUGACUUUCUGGAGCUGGGGGUUCCCCUACCCCCUUUACCUGGUGUUUAAAUUUUUCUUUUUGUACCAAUGGAUCUGGGCCCAAGACACUACUCACACUGGACGGGGAUUUCUAUAAUAAAUGUAUAAACUGAACUUAAUUCAUU